UAGGGAAUCUUCGGCAAUGGACGAAAGUCUGACCGAGCAACGCCGCGUGAGUGAAGAAGGUUUUCGGAUCGUAAAACUCUGUUGUUAGAGAAGAACAAGGACGUUAGUAACUGAACGUCCCCUGACGGUAUCUAACCAGAAAGCCACGGCUAACUACGUGCCAGCAGCCGCGGUAAUACGUAGGUGGCAAGCGUUGUCCGGAUUUAUUGGGCGUAAAGCGAGCGCAGGCGGUUUCUUAAGUCUGAUGUGAAAGCCCCCGGCUCAACCGGGGAGGGUCAUUGGAAACUGGGAGACUAGAGUGCAGAAGAGGAGAGUGGAAUUCCAUGUGUAGCGGUGAAAUGCGUAGAUAUAUGGAGGAACACCAGUGGCGAAGGCGGCUCUCUGGUCUGUAACUGACGCUGGGGCUCGAAAGCGUGGGGAGCAAACAGG
rnacentral:rRNA from 1 species